UGCAAAAUGGUCCCCCAUAGUUAAUAAAUAAAUAAGCUGAUAAAAAUGGUUUUUCCUUUUGUUCAUAUAGCUAGAGAUUGAGAUAGAGAUCAUGAUAGAUAUAUACACAAUAUACACAAACAUAUAUAUAUUAAAGGUCCCCCACCACUAGCUUGUCCCUCUCAAUAUAUUUCAGUCUGAGGUCCCAUUGUCCCAACCUAUAUAUCUAUAUAGUUAAAAAGCUAUUAAUGCUUUCUUUGUAAAUAUAUGUAACUUACAAUAAUCUCUCUGUCAAAACUGCAUGAGAUGAGAGAGAGAGACUGCCUAGCUAAGUCUCCUUUGGCGUGACAAUAUUCAAUUUGCAUCACUUUUGGGGACCACAACUGCUACUUAAUUAAUUAAUUCUUACGUUUUUUCUUUCAUCUUUCUUUUCCUCUACAAUAAGGGGAAACAAAUUGAUUUAAAUUAUUGUUAAUACUAAUUUACCUUUUAAUUAGCUGUUAUUUAGUUCUACUCAUUAUUUAAUAUAAUUUCUUUUAUUACUUCAGAGCCUCUAUAUAUACCCCCUAUUUCAUCCUUUCUUCUCCCAUAUCUCUCUCCGAAAACUAUAACCCUAGAUAAAAUAUACAUAUAUAUAUAGUUUUUUUUUGGUUAAAAUUGAUGAUAUCUAGUGCUUUCAAUAAUAGUUGAAGCUGCCAGCAUGAUCUUAACUUUCCUCCUUGAUGAAGGAAGAUCAGAUCAUGUGGCAGUUUCACCUGUUUCUGGUGGCAUGAAAAAACCCUAAUCUUAUCAUGAACCCUAAAUUAAAUAAACUCCCUAUACAUAUAUUUUUAUAUACUCUUUUCAGGGACGUUAUAAGACAUCUUCCGUAAAAUCUAGGGGAAAGGUUCGAUGAUAACAAGAAAUCUCUCACAGGCUUUAGAUCUGUUGGUUAGUGAUGCCAUGGUAAUUUUCAUGUAUCCAAUGUCCGUUUUUUUUUUUUAAUUUUUAAUUUUGUUAAGAAUUUUUUAUCCUUAAGUUCUCUCUAAGAUAUAUACAUAUAUAUACACACACAUAAAAAACAUAGGAAGAAUACUUGUUAUGUUAUAAUGUUUUUUCCUCUCUUUCGAUCGGAAAAAGUUCUUUUCAGGCUUUAGAGCAUUAUUUCAGAAAUAAGUAUCACCUGUUAUAAAUAUAUAUGUUAGAAUAAAUAAAUACUGUAAAAAAAUAAAGUCCCUUGCUAAUAUAAUGUAUAAAUAAAACAGAUUGGUAGAGGGGUUUAUCUUCUUUCCCUCUAUAUAGAUGACUAAUUUACUAGGGUUUCAUUCAUGUGAGGCUAGUGAAAUGAGAAAUCCGACUAAUUAUUACCAAUGAUGUAUAAUAUAUAUAAAUUUAUGAAAGAUCAAGCAUAUGUCUCUAGCUGUAGACAUGGGGAUCAGACCAUUGUGUACCUUAUAAGCUUUCCUUAGAAUGUACUUUUAAUUAGUCAAACAUGUGUACAUAUAUAUAUUUGUAGAUAUAAAUUCAACAGAAGAAGUACUAUCAGUGAUUAACCUGCUUGAAUAUCAUAUUCACGAAUGGAUGUCUCCUUGAAAGUUUUCAAAACGACCUGAUACUAGUGAUAUAUGGUAUAAUAUAUAAUGAAGUACUGAUCAGUACUUUUAUACUCUGACAAUAAGUAGAUUUACACAGCCACGGCAAUGGAGUUCUGAAACUUGUUCCCUUUUACAAGAUUCUUUUCAACCUACAUUUAUGUAUAAUAAUAUAAAUGUUUUUCCUAUCUUACAUUCAUAGAAUAUGUUCAUUUGUAUACUUUUCAUAUAUACUUUGUUUUUUCUCACUAUAUAUACCUCUUCAAUUCAUUAUAAACAUACAUUAUGGUUUAUCUAUGAUGAUUUAGAAAAUUAUUAUAUGAUAUAUAAAAUUAAAAGUCGGUCCCGAACAACUUAAUAAGACAAUGCUUGAACACUAUUAUGGGUUUAUGAUUUAGAAUGAGCUGUAAUAAUUGGUCAGAUUAUUGAGUACAAGCUAUAGUUAGUAAAAGAUAAAUGUUUAGAGACAUCUUGUAAGCACAUAUUGAUGUACUUUAAUAUGGGAUCUCACACAUUUUGAUUUAAUAAAUUAUAUAUAUCUGUAUGGCUCGGAUACUUGAAGUGCCAAAUAAAGAUUGAGAGUAAGCAAAAUCAUGGGAUCCAUGGAUUGCUUUUCUUUCUACUUCUUGUUUUUUUUUCCUUUAAUUUGCUGGCACAUGCAUAUAAUGUUUGUUCUAAUUAUGAUGGGUAUUUCUAUGAUUUCACACCAAGGAGAUUUGAAGUUGGAAUCACCCUACCUCCCCCCAUCUCUUGGAUACUAAUUGUAUAUUUUCAUAACUUUUGAACAGCUAGCACAAAAAAACCAGAGUUACCAUUAUAAGUGCAGGUUCUAUUUAUCUAAAUACAUAAUUGUUCUUGUAAACUAAUAAUAUAUAUUGUAAUAGCUAUUACAUUUAAUACACAUAAAUUAAACCUUCAUCAUAUACACGAUUUAUAUUAACCCCAUAUGAGCUUAUUCUCUCUAUCUUUGCAUAUGUUUGUACCUAUGUGUAUAUAUAUUUAUAAAUAUACAUUACAAUACAUGAUGAACUAUGUUUCUCCAUCUGGUUGCCAUUUUUGUUAUCUGUAUUUAAUUUGGAGGUCUGACAGAAACGAAGCUCCAUUAUAUAUCUUCCCAAGAUUCGCCUCAAGUUUUCAAAUUUCUCUCGUCCUGAUAUAUAAGCAUGCGCUAUAGUGUGUGUUCAAUUUUAGUUGUCAACUACUACUGCAACUAUUACUAUAACUACUAGCUAGUCACGAGUAAUAAUGUCAUAUAUAUAUAUAUAUAUAUAUAUAAGUAUAGUUGCAUUGCAUUAUUAACUGGUGUGGAGUUGUCGCGUACCAUUUAUUAAAGAUGCUCCUCGUAUAGGGGGAACCAACCAAAAAGAUAAAAAGGGUUGCUGUGUUGAUGGAGAUUGAUAUAUAUGCAAUGUCAUUGUAUGAUCAUAUAAAGAUUCAGGGGGUACGAACCUUCCUUAUUUUUU